GGGCCCGCACAAGCGGUGGAGCAUGUGGUUUAAUUCGAUGAUACGCGAGGAACCUUACCAGGGCUUAAAUGUAAGUUGCAUUAGAUAGAGAUAUCUAUUUCUUCGGACCACUUACAAGGUGCUGCAUGGUUGUCGUCAGCUCGUGCCGUGAGGUGUCAGGUUAAGUCCUAUAACGAGCGCAACCCCUGUUGUUAGUUGCCAGCGAUUCAAGUCGGGAACUCUAACAAGACUGCCGGUGCAAACCGUGAGGAAGGUGGGGAUGACGUCAAAUCAUCACGGCCCUUACGUCCUGGCUACACACGUGCUACAAUGGUAGGGACAGAGGGCAGCCACUGGGUGACCAGGAGCGAA
rnacentral:rRNA from 1 species